AAUGAUUCCUUCUUCUUCUUCCCCUUAUUAAGCUCUACGCAAAAAUGCAGAUCUUCAUCUCCAAAUCAACUUCAACCCUAAAUAAAUAAAUAUUUGAGUAUGAAGAUUU